rnacentral:lncRNA from 1 species
AAAUCCACUGGUGGCAGUGGCCACGGUGUUCCCAAUUGAAGCUCUGCUAUGUUGUCAAAAUCUCUGUUGACAACGUCGAUCCGUUGGAACACCUGCGGCAUCAAACAGGUCAGCUUCAAUCUCAGCCUAAAUUAAGCCUUCAGAUCAAAAGCAAAUAGUUUUAGGUAAACAAAACUGAUUAGUUUCAGCGACCUGGCCAAGAGUGACAGGUAACAGCCUUCCGGUAGGGAUACCGGGACGACUUCCACCGAGAGUUCGAGAAGAGAAGGCGCUGCUGUAAACCAACUUCCACCUCCCUUGUAGCUUAUCCAAGUCACACGCUAGAUCCACAA